ACGGAAGGCAGCAGUGGGGAAUAUUGCACAAUGGGGGAAACCCUGAUGCAGCGACGCCGCGUGAGCGAUGAAGUAUUUCGGUAUGUAAAGCUCUAUCAGCAGGGAAGAUAAUGACGGUACCUGACUAAGAAGCCCCGGCUAACUACGUGCCAGCAGCCGCGGUAAUACGUAGGGGGCAAGCGUUAUCCGGAUUUACUGGGUGUAAAGGGAGCGCAGGCGGUUUUUUAAGUCUGAUGUGAAAGCCCGUGGCUCAACUGCGGGACUGCAUUGGAAACUGGAGAACUAGAGUGCCGGAGGGGCAAGUGGAAUUCCUAGUGUAGCGGUGAAAUGCGUAGAUAUUAGGAGGAACACCAGUGGCGAAGGCGGCUUGCUGGACGAUAACUGACGCUGAGGCUCGAAAGCGUGGGGAGCAAACAGGAUUAGAUACCCUGGUA
rnacentral:rRNA from 1 species